rnacentral:lncRNA from 1 species
UAAGGAUUCUAAGAUAACCAAUGUCAAAGAGCAUAUCAAUGUAUAAAGCAGAAUUUUCAGAAUGAAACAAAUUGAUCAAUGCAUAAAUAAUCAUAGAAUCAAUAUAUUCAUGAUUGAAAAGAAAAGUAUUUGAUUAGAGUUGAAUACUGUAGAAUUGAAAUUUUGGAAAUUAUAAAACAGAAUUAACAGAAAAGAACUAUCAAGAAGUUAAACGUGAAAGAAUGAGAAAUCUGGUUUACAACAGGUAAUGAGUGAUUACUGGAAUAAAAAGAACAGAUCAGAAGUUGUAGGUAAUGAAAUACAAUCGAAUAAAAAACAACUAUCAAGAAAUUCCUGGAAUAAAGAGAACAAAAUAGGAAUUGUAGUUUAUAAAAUACAAUUCAACGAAAUACAUAUUGAAUGAAAAACAGAAUUGGAGUCUACAGAAUGAAAUUAAAACUUGAAUUGAAAGAAACUGAUUUGGAUGGAUGUAAUUGAAUCAGAUGAUCGGAAUUGAAGAAAAGAAAUGAAACCUGGAAUGAAAACAACACAGAAAAGGAAAGAUUACCUAAAAUGAAUUGAAGACGAAAUUGCACUGAGAUUGGUCGCAGAAAAUCAGAAAGGGAGAACUCGCAAAUUGAACUUUUCCCCGUAUCUUCCCACUGUUCGUUGUGUCCUUUUUAUAACCUUUCCCAUUCUGUUAUUAUUGGGCAGCUUAUUUGUAAUUUAUUCGGGCCAGCUUAUCCAUUUAUUUGGGUAACAGAUCCUUUUCUUUCACAUCCUCCCACAAAUCUGCAGUGAUACCUUGCGGAAGAUUUGGAUCAGAUGAACGGACUGGAACCAACUUGUGCCAGUGGCGAUGUCGUAUGAAGUCUUCUGUACCUAGAGUCUUGGUGAAUCCAUCUGCGAACUGCAUUGAUGUAGGUACAAAUUCUACCUUGAGCACUCCUCUAUUUAUUAAUUCCCUUACAAAAUAGUAGCUUAUUUCUAUAUGCCUUGAUCUUGAUGUAAUAGUAGGAUUCUUAGCCAUAAAAAUCGCAGAUUUAUUGUCACAUAGUAAUGUCGGUGGGGAUGAUAGCAAAAUCCCUAACUCCCUAAACAAGAAGCAAUACCAUCUUAAUUCUGAUGUAACAUGAGCCAUGGCCUUAAAUUCAGCUUCCGAGCUCAAAUUUGAUACUGUUGGCUGCUUCUUAGCAGACCAUGAUAGUAAAUUACUCCCAUACCAUACACUUGAUCCUGUUAUGGAUCUUCUAUCUGUUGAGGCUCCCCAAUCAGAAUCUGUGUAUGCUAUUAAAUUCAUCACUCUCUCUGAGCUUUUUGUUAUUCUCAAUCCUAAAUUUGAUGUCCCUUGUAGGUAUCUAAAUAUCCUCCUCACAGCUAACAAGUGCCCCUGUUUGGGAUUUUGUAAAUAUUGGCACACCUGAUUUAUUGAGAAAGAUAAAUCAGGUCUAGUGAGUGACAAAUAUUGCAAGCUACCAACCAUGCUCCUAUAGCCUGUAAUAUCUUCCACAGGAUCACCCAUAUCUCCAUUUAACUUUGUGGAUAAGGUCAUGGGUGUUCUAACUGGAUUUGACUUAUCAUAUCCAAACUUCUUCAAUAUAUCCUUCACAUAGUUUUCUUGAGAUAAUACCAUGUUGUCUCCCUGAUAUAUGCAUUGGAUCCCCAAGAAAAAGCUCAAUCUGCCAAUAUCUCUACAUUGGAAGGUUUCACAUAGCUUUUUCACAAAUUUACUUAUUCCUUCUUCAUUUGACCCUGUCACCACAAUAUCAUCAACAUAAACUAAGAUUAAUAAUUUUUCCUCACCAUUCACCUUGUAGAACAAAGACGCAUCUGCAUUUGAAUUCUUAAACUCCUGAGAUAUCAGAUGUUAUUGUAAUCUUAGGUACCAAGCUCUAGGAGCCUGUUUUAAACCAUACAAUGCUUUCUGAAGUAAACAAACAUCAUUUGGUCUGUCCUUAUCUUCAUACCCCUUAGGUUGCUUCAUAUAGACAGUCUCAUGUAGAUUACCUUUCAGAAACGCAUUCCUAACAUCAAGCUGUCUCAAUGCCCAACCAUGUGUUACAGCCAUUGAUAAUACAGUCCUUACUGUUGAGAUCUUGACUACUGGGCUGUAUGUAUAUUGGAAAUUCACUCCUUCUUCUUGAUUGUAUCAUUGUGCUACCAAUCUGGCUUUACAUCUUUCCACACUCCCAUCAGACUUCCUCUUUACUUUGUAUACCCAUUUAGAGCCUAUAAUGUUCAUAUAUUCUUCUUUUGGUACCAACACCCAUGUACUGUUUUGUUUAAUUGCUUUCAUCUCUUCCUCCAUUGCAUCCUUCCAACAUUUUUCUUUGUUAGCCUGUGAAAAACAUCUUGGCUCCACAAAAUCAUUAGACAUUAUCAUAUUAUUACAAUUAUCUAAAAUCAUCUCAAAAUCUUUAUACAAAACAUUUGUAAAUUUUUCCCUUACUGAUCUUCUUAGACCUGGAAGAGAAGGGUGACUCUGACAUUCAAUGCCAUGAGUAGAUGGGUUUAUACUUGGAUUUACUUCCAAAUUAACCCUAUUCUCAGUGUUUGGAAUGACAGUUGGAAUGAGUUCCAAACUAUUAUCUGACCUAUUUAAAGAAGAUUGUAUAGGAUUUGUUAUCAUUGGUCUUUGAGUUAGAUCAUUGUUAGGUAGUGAAUCAGAAUGAUUCCUACCUAUGCUGGACCCUUCAUUCUCAAUUUGAGAUGAAUUUGGAAUUGAAUUUAUACUAGACAGAGAGUCAGACUGGAUCCUAUCUAAGCUAGAUGUUUCAUUUGAAAUUUCAUUUUGAUUCCCAUUUAUAUUUGAAUUUGGUCUUAUAAUGGGUAUCCUUGAUUGUGAUACCAGUUCUAUAGCCAUUGGUUUAGUUUGAAUAUCCACUGAUUUUUGAAAUUCAGUGAAAGGGAAAGAGUCUUCAUUAAACACCACAUUUCUACAUAUUCUUAUUCUUUUAGUCUCUAUUUUUAGACAUCUAUACCCUUUCUGUUGAGUAGCAUACCCUAAAAAUACACACCUUUUGGAUUUUGGCAUCAAUUUAUUUCUUCCCUCUCUAGGCAACAAAGGAUAACAUUCACAUCCUAGGGUUUUCAUUAUUGAAUAAUCAGGUGAUCUAUUCAUUAAUUUUUCAUAAAGACUCUUGUUGUCUAAGGUAGGUGUUUUUAGUCUGUUCAUUAAGUAGACAACAGAGGAGAAUACCUCUGGCCAAUAUUCAUGUGGUAUACUAGAUUUAAUCAUCAGACAUCUCCCAACUUCUAAUAUCUGUCUAUGUCUCCUUUCUACUAGUCCAUGUUGUUGGGGGGUAUAUGAACAUGACAUUUUAUGGUUUAUUCCUUGCUCUUCUAGAUAUUUUUUGAAUUUUCCAUUUAUAAAUUCCCCUCCUUGAUCCGUUUGUAUUUCUCUUAUUUUCUGUCCCACAUAUCUUUCUACUAAAUUAUGAUACUUAACAAAAAUAGAGAAAAACUCUGAUUUAUUAUUCAAUGGGUAAAACCAUACAAACCUUGUACAUUCAUCAACUAUUGAUACAUAUAUAGAAUCUAAAAUUAGAUACAGAUUUCUUUGGGGAUGAACCCCACAGAUCGAUAUGUAUUAUUUUUAAAGGAGUUGAUGCUAUUACAUUCCUUCUAUCAAAGGGUAAUUGAUGGACUUUUCCUAGGGGACAUACUUUGCAAAAUUAUUUAUUCUUUCCUUCUAAUUCUUUAAUCCUUAGUUCUGGCACCAUUUGUUUCAGAACUGCUUCAGAUGGGUGUCCCAAUCUGUCAUGCCACAUCUCUUUUGAAGCUUUCACUCCAUAACAAGCUUGGUUGUCCGGAUAGAUGUGGUAUAAUCCUUCUAAGCUAUUGCCAGAAAAUAAUGUCUCCAUAGUGCCCUGAUCCUUAACCAUAAAGUUUUUGUCAUUGAAAACAAUAAUGCAAUUUAAAUUUCUAGAUAAUUUUUGAAUUGACAUUAAGUUUUUCUUUAGUCCAGGAACACACAAUACACCUUCAAGAUUAUAAUUUUUCCCUUUAAAUUUUAAAGUUACUCUUCCUCUAUAUUUCACAGGUAAAUAAUCACUACUACCUACAAUUACAUAUUGAGUACCUGGUGCUGUCUCAUAUGCAGUGAAGGCAGUCAAGUAGUCUGGUGUCAUGUGGCUGGAUGCUCCAGAGUCAAGACACCAAGAUGUGUCCUCUUGUGUAGAAGCAGCUGACAUGGCCAAUUAUGUUGUGAAGGUAACUGAUAUUGUUCUGUAUAGACUUGAGGGGUUGUCGACUGAUGAUGAGCUGGUUGUGUUAGGCAAGGAGGUUGUGAUGUUGUAGUUUCAGUAGUGUUUAGGGCUGAGUAGUUAUUGUAGUCUGGACACUGCUUUGCCAGGUGUCCCUUUUUGUCACAGAUCUGACAAGCUUGUGUUUGGUCUAUGGAUGAAAGUGUUUUAAAAUGUGGUGAUGCUUGUGGUCUUUGUAUGUUCUGUAGUGGUGGCGCUGUCAUUGCAUCUCUAGCGUAGGAAGGAUAGUAACCUUGAUAUUGUUAAUGUGGAUAGAUUGGUUGCUGGUGUGGGUAGGAUGGUCUAUAAUUUUGUUGGUAUUGAUAUGAAGGUCUGUAAUUGUAAUUUGGGUUUGGGUAAUAUUGAGAUUGAUUAUUAUAAUAAGGUUGGUUAUUAUGAUUUGGUUGGUGGUAAUUAUAUCCAUGAUUGUUACCUCUGUAAUUUGGUCUAUAUCCUCUGUAAUUAGGAUUAUACCCUUUAUAGUUUGGAUUCUGACCUCUGUAGCCAGAAUGAGCAGCCAUUGCUACAGUUACUUGUGAUUGACUUUCUUCCUCAAUUCUUUUUACCAGUAACUCUUCACCUAGAAGCAUGUCAGCCAAAUCAUCGAAGCUAGGUGCUUGUGAUAUGCUUCUUACUGUAGUCAAUAGGCAUCUGUACUCAACGCCCAAUCCCCCUAAAAUAUAAUCUCUUAGGCAAGCAUCACUUAGGCUUUCUCCUGUAGAAUCCAGAGAUUCUACCAAACCUUUCACUCUCACUAUGUAUUCUUGCAUAUUUUCAGUGCCUAACUUCUUUAAUGUCCUCAAUUGAUCUUUAAUUACUGUAACUUGAGUGUUACUUGUUGGUGAAAGAAGUUUUUCCAAGCUUAUCCAUCCAUCAUAAGCGAAUUUAUCUGUAACAUCAGUUGAUAUUGAUUGUUCACAGUUGCCUUAAUCCACCCUAGGACUAAGUCAUCACUAGCCACCCAUUCCUCAUAUUCAUGGUUGACUUCAGUCCCUACUCUAGGAGCAGGACAUGAACUAGUGCCAUUUACAUACUUCAUAAACCUAUGUGCUCUUAGAGCACACUCAAAUUGGUUUCUCCAUGUCAGAUAGUUUCCUCUCUCUAGCCUAUCAGGGACCAUACUAAAAAUAUUAUAGGAUACAUGACCCAGAUGUGUUGUUUGUUGAGGUAUAUUCCUAGUUGUAGAAGUGAGUGGUGUAGCCAUAUCGACCUUAGAUCAAGAAAAUAGUCGAAAGUAGUGUUAAAACAGUAGAACUAUGAAGAUCCCAGAACUAAACCUAGACUGAUACCAUGUAAAGAAUCGAUAUAUCUAAGGAUUCUAAGAUAACCAAUGUCAAAGAGCAUAUCAAUGUAUAAAGCAGAAUUUUCAGAAUGAAACAAAUUGAUCAAUGCAUAAAUAAUCAUAGAAUCAAUAUAUUCAUGAUUGAAAAGAAAAGUAUUUGAUUAGAGUUGAAUACUGUAGAAUUGAAAUUUUGGAAAUUAUAAAACAGAAUUAACAGAAAAGAACUAUCAAGAAGUUAAACGUGAAAGAAUGAGAAAUCUGGUUUACAACAGGUAAUGAGUGAUUACUGGAAUAAAAAGAACAGAUCAGAAGUUGUAGGUAAUGAAAUACAAUCAAAUAAAAAACAACUAUCAAGAAAUUCCUGGAAUAAAGAGAACAAAAUAGGAAUUGUAGUUUAUAAAAUACAAUUCAACGAAAUACAUAUUGAAUGAAAAACAGAAUUGGAGUCUACAGAAUGAAAUUAAAACUUGAAUUGAAAGAAACUGAUUUGGAUGGAUGUAAUUGAAUCAGAUGACCGGAAUUGAAGAAAAGAAAUGAAACCUGGAAUGAAAACAACACAGAAAAGGAAAGAUUACCUAAAAUGAAUUGAAGACGAAAUUGCACUGAGAUUGGUCGCAGAAAAUCAGAAAGGGAGAACUCGCAAAUUGAACUUUUUCCCGUAUUUUCCCACUGUUCGUUGUGUCCUUUUUAUAACCUUUCCCAUUCUGUUAUUAUUGGGCAGCUUAUUUGUAAUUUAUUCGGGCCAGCUUAUCCAUUUAUUUGGGUAACGAAUCCUUUUCUUUCACAAG